UACGAAGGUCCCAAGCGUUAUCCGGAUUUAUUGGGUUUAAAGGGUGCGCAGGCGGCCAAGUGUGUGAGGCGUGAAAGCCCGGGGCUUAACCCCGGAAUUGCACCUCAAACUACAUGGCUAGAGCAUUGGAGAGGGUAGCGGAAUUCACGGUGUAGCAGUGAAAUGCGUAGAUAUCGUGAGGAACACCAGAGGCGAAGGCGGCUACCUGGACAAUUGCUGACGCUCAGGCACGAAAGCGUGGGGAGCAAAAGGG
rnacentral:rRNA from 1 species